GAAUUUUGUCAAAUAACCGACUCAAUGGGCCUAUUCCAGCUUCUUUGUGUGAUGGACAAUCAAAAGAAUUGCUUGAGUUGAGAGUGGACAACAAUCCCGAUAUAUGUCUCUGUCAUAGUACAUGUCAAAUUGGCAGCGAAGGAAGGAAGCUUGCUACAGUCACCAUUGUGCUGAUCACUGUCAUCCUGGCGCUGAUUAUACUGCUGCUCCUAUCAUUGCUUUUAUUCUUCUUCUUGAGGAGAAAAAAAUCUACAACAAAAUUAUGUAAGUGGUUUUAAGCAAGUAAUAGCUUAUAAACAUACAAUUUUGUUUUAUAAUGUCCUUUUCUUCUUCAGCAAAAAGGCAAUGUUAGAAGUGAGAUAGAACUCUUCUUAGCUGUAUAAUAUCAGGACAUGUCUUCUCUGAUAUCAUAGAGAAAAGUAACUUCUUUUAUUGCUGAAAACUUCAACUUUGUCGUGCGCAUGCUUCAGGACUUCUUUCUCCACAUAUUAUAUGCUAAUGUUUGAGCAAUAUAAAACUUUUUGCAGAAUUUUGUCAAAUAACCGACUCAAUGGGCCUAUUCCAGCUUCUUUAUGUGAUGGACAAUCAAAAGGAUUGCUUGAGUUGAGGUUUGUGCUGUAGUCUAAUAUCCCAAAUCUUCCCACAAUUCCUUCUACCUAAGACUAAUACUAAUAUCUUAUGAACUUUAUGUUCUGCAAAGAGUGGACAACAAUCCGGAUAUAUGCCUAUGUCAUAGUACAUGUCAAAUUGGCAGCAAAGGAAGGAAGCUUGCUACAUUCACCAUUGUGCUGAUCGCUGCCGUCCCAGCGCUGAUUAUACUGCUGCUCCUAUCAUUGCUUUUAUUCUUCUUGAGGAGAAGAAAAUCUACAACAAAAUUAUCACCGCCAAUUCAAGACGCGCUUGCUAUACCCGAAACCCAUAGAUAUUUACAUAUGAUGAAUCGAAGGCCAUCACCAACAAUUUUGAUCUUGUACUUGGAAAGGGGGGGGUUUGGGAAUGUUUACUUACCAUGGUCGAUUGCAUGAUGGCACUGAAGCUGCAGUAAAACUUUUGCACUCACAUCGGAUGGUCAAAGGGACAUCAUCUGAGGAGUUUCAAGCCGAGGCUCUUCUCUUAUCGAGGGUCCAUCACAGGAACUUAGUGUCUUUGAUCGGGUACUGUAGAGACAACAAUCAACUUGGACUUGUUUAUGAAUAUGCUGCUCGUGGAAGUCUUAGAGAUCAUCUUUCAGGUAAAAAAGAUGUUGAAUAGUAUUCUAUGAUCUGAGCUACUGCAUGCUUGGAGAAGAUUGAAUCCAGUUUAAGUUGCUUUACCCGAAAAUGUUGUAUCUUUCGACAGUAUAUUUCUCAAUCUCUACCUAAAUUUCUCUCUCUUUCCUUUGUCAUACAUUAUUUGGAUUGAAUCAAUGCAAUUGAUAAGAUAUUAUCA